CUAAAGAUGAAUUUGGCGUUCACAAAACAGUUUGAUAUCACACUGCUUUCUCUCCUCAGUGCCCCUCCCCCCAUUUGUAAAAGUACAUUUAAUAAAUCUCAUAUCUAUUGGCUAAACUUUACACUACAUGCCUUAGGAUAUACCGAUCCUUUAUGUUACACACAAAUAAAACAAUAAAUACUAAGGGGAAAAUGAAAAUUAUGACGCACAAACAGCAGCACUAAUGAAAAUGAAGUACGUAGCAGUUUGAAUACCAUUAGUUUUGUGGACAAUAGUGGCUUUAUCAUGUUCUAAAAAGGACAAAUGGCUUUUGUAUGCUACAGAAU